GGAAGCUCUUGGAAUCCACGCUCUUCCAGCAAAUCUCAAAGGAGUUCUUCCUCUUUGAGCUUGUUGACUCUGGGGGAGAGCUGGUGGACUCUGUCUCUGAAAGAAGUCAGGAGAGGUGGGAGAUGCAACACUAGCGGAGAAGGAAGGAGAACAUGGGACACAUCUGAGAACUUCCCUGGAUCCUGGUUCGGAAAAUGCAGCGUAUG
rnacentral:lncRNA from 1 species